rnacentral:rRNA from 1 species
CCUAACACAUGCAAGUCGAACGGUAACAGGAAACAGCUUGCUGUUUCGCUGACGAGUGGCGGACGAGUGAGUAAUGUCUGGGAAGCUGCCUGAUGGAGGGGGAUAACUACUGGAAACGGUAGCUAAUACCGCAUAAUGUCGCAAGACCAAAGAGGGGGACCUUCGGGCCUCUUGCCAUCGGAUGUGCCCAGAUGGGAUUAGCUUGUUGGUGGGGUAACGGCUCACCAAGGCGACGAUCCCUAGCUGGUCUGAGAGGAUGACCAGCCACACUGGAACUGAGACACGGUCCAGACUCCUACGGGAGGCAGCAGUGGGGAAUAUUGCACAAUGGGCGCAAGCCUGAUGCAGCCAUGCCGCGUGUAUGAAGAAGGCCUUCGGGUUGUAAAGUACUUUCAGCGGGGAGGAAGGGAGUAAAGUUAAUACCUUUGCUCAUUGACGU